AGGAACAUUCCCUUUAUUCAACAUGCUGGACCUGGAUUACUGGAUGGUUUAUCUCCAUCUACUGGUUGUUCUCACAGGUGUCGACUGUGAAGAUCUGAGUCCAGUCAAGAAUGAAGAGUCCAGUUUAGAAGGAAACUCUGUUACUCUCACAUAUAAAUACCCCAAAAUGGCAUCAAAUGAUUAUUUCUUCUGGUAUCGACAAUAUCCAGGAAAACCACCAGAGCUCCUCAUCUCACACUCAUCCUCAGGAUCAACAGGAAUUGAAAACGUUUCUGGACUCAAGAUUAAUGUGGAGAAAAACCUCAUCUCGAUGAGCAUCUCCUCUGCUGCAGUGUCAGACUCUGCUGUGUACUACUCCCCUCCCACCACCACCAAACACUCAUACUCCAGUGGGCGUGACACUGGCGGUACGGUGGGUGGAGUGUCUUGA